rnacentral:rRNA from 1 species
UAAGGGCAUUCGGUGGAUGCCUUGGCGACAAGAGGCGAUGAAAGACGUGAUACGCUGCGAUAAGCCAUGGGGAGCUGCGAAUAAGCUUUGAUCCGUGGAUUUCUGAAUGGGGCAACCCACUCCGUAUGGAGUACCCUUUAAUGGGAGCAAACCCGGGGAACUGAAACAUCUAAGUACCCGGAGGAAAGGACAUCAACCGAGACUCCGCUAGUAGUGGCGAGCGAACGCGGACCAGGCCAGUGCCUCAAUUGAAUUAACCGGAACCGUCUGGAAAGUCGGGCCUUAGUGGGUGAUAGCCCCGUACGGGUGUUGUGAGAUUGAGGACUUGAGUAGGGCGGGACACGUGAAAUCCUGUCUGAACAUGGGGGGACCACCCUCCAAGCCUAAGUACUCCUUGUCGACCGAUAGCGAACAAGUACCGUGAGGGAAAGAUGAAAAGAACUUUGAAAAGAGAGUCAAAAGUGCUUGAAAUUGUUGAGG